GACGAACGCUGGCGGCGUGCUUAACACAUGCAAGUCGAACGGAAAGGCCCUGCUUUUGUGGGGUGCUCGAGUGGCGAACGGGUGAGUAACACGUGAGUAACCUGCCCUUGACUUUGGGAUAACUUCAGGAAACUGGGGCUAAUACCGGAUAGGAGCUCCUGCUGCAUGGUGGGGGUUGGAAAGUUUCGGCGGUUGGGGAUGGACUCGCGGCUUAUCAGCUUGUUGGUGAGGUAGUGGCUUACCAAGGCUUUGACGGGUAGCCGGCCUGAGAGGGUGACCGGCCACAUUGGGACUGAGAUACGGCCCAGACUCCUACGGGAGGCAGCAGUGGGGAAUAUUGCGCAAUGGGCGGAAGCCUGAUGCAGCAACGCCGCGUGCGGGAUGACGGCCUUCGGGUUGUAAACCGCUUUCGCCUGUGACGAAGCGUGAGUGACGGUAAUGGGUAAAGAAGCACCGGCUAACUACGUGCCAGCAGCCGCGGUGAUACGUAGGGUGCGAGCGUUGUCCGGAUUUAUUGGGCGUAAAGGGCUCGUAGGUGGUUGAUCGCGUCGGAAGUGUAAUCUUGGGGCUUAACCCUGAGCGUGCUUUCGAUACGUGUUGACUUGAGGAAGGUAGGGGAGAAUGGAAUUCCUGGUGGAGCGGUGGAAUGCGCAGAUAUCAGGAGGAACACCAGUGGCGAAGGCGGUUCUCUGGGCCUUUCCUGACGCUGAGGAGCGAAAGCGUGGGGAGCGAACAGGCUUAGAUACCCUGGUAGUCCACGCUGUAAACGGUGGGUACUAGGUGUGGGGUCCAUUCCACGGGUUCCGUGCCGUAGCUAACGCUUUAAGUACCCCGCCUGGGGAGUACGGCCGCAAGGCUGAAACUCAAAGGAAUUGACGGGGCCCCGCACAAGCGGCGGAGCAUGCGGAUUAAUUCGAUGCAACGCGUAGAACCUUACCUGGGUUUGACAUGGAUCGGGAGUGCCCAGAGAUGGGUGUGCCUCUUUUGGGGUCGGUUCACAGGUGGUGCAUGGCUGUCGUCAGCUCGUGUCGUGAGAUGUUGGGUUAAGUCCCGCAACGAGCGCAACCCUUGUUCACUGUUGCCAGCACGUUAUGGUGGGGACUCAGUGGAGACCGCCGGGGUCAACUCGGAGGAAGGUGGGGAUGACGUCAAGUCAUCAUGCCCCUUAUGUCCAGGGCUUCACGCAUGCUACAAUGGCUGGUACAGAGAGUGGCGAGCCUGUGAGGGUGAGCGAAUCUCGGAAAGCCGGUCUCAGUUCGGAUUGGGGUCUGCAACUCGACCUCAUGAAGUCGGAGUCGCUAGUAAUCGCAGAUCAGCAACGCUGCGGUGAAUACGUUCCCGGGGCU
rnacentral:rRNA from 1 species